UAGGGAAUCUUCCACAAUGGACGCAAGUCUGAUGGAGCAACGCCGCAUGAGUGAAGAAGGUUUUCGGAUCGUAAAGCUCUGUUGUUGGUGAAGAAGGAUAGAGGUAGUAACUGGCCUUUAUUUGACGGUAAUCAACCAGAAAGUCACGGCUAACUACGUGCCAGCAGCCGCGGUAAUACGUAGGUGGCAAGCGUUGUCCGGAUUUAUUGGGCGUAAAGCGAGCGCAGGCGGAAGAAUAAGUCUGAUGUGAAAGCCCUCGGCUUAACCGAGGAACUGCAUCGGAAACUGUUUUUCUUGAGUGCAGAAGAGGAGAGUGGAAUUCCAUGUGUAGCGGUGGAAUGCGUAGAUAUAUGGAAGAACACCAGUGGCGAAGGCGACUCUCUGGUCUGCAACUGACGCUGAGGCUCGAAAGCAUGGGUAGCGAACAGG
rnacentral:rRNA from 1 species